AUUGAACGCUGGCGGCAGGCCUAACACAUGCAAGUCGAGCGAGCGGCGGACGGGUGAGUAAUGUAUGGGGACUGCCCGAUAGAGGGGGAUAACUACUGGAAACGGUGGCUAAUACCGCAUACUAUCGGAUAACCCAUAUGGGAUUAGCUAGUAGGGGGGGUAAAGGCUCACCUGGGCGACGAUCUCUAGCUGGUCUGAGAGGAUGAUCGGCAAACCUGGGCCGGGGACACGGCCCGACCUCCACCGGAGGAAGCAGUGGGGAAUAUUGCACAAUGGGGGCAAGCCUGAUGCAGCAAUGCCGCGUGUAUGAAGAAGGCCUUAGGGUUGUAAAGUACUUUAGGUAGCGAGGCGUUAACUACAGAAGAAGCACCGGCUAACUACGUGCCAGCCGCCGCGGUAAUAC
rnacentral:rRNA from 1 species